GGGUUGUGAGGUUAAGCGACUAAGCGUACACGGUGGAUGCCCUGGCAGUCAGAGGCGAUGAAGGACGUGCUAAUCUGCGAAAAGCGUCGGUAAGGUGAUAUGAACCGUUAUAACCGGCGAUGUCCGAAUGGGGAAACCCAGUGCAAUUCGUUGCACUAUCGUUAACUGAAUACAUAGGUUAACGAGGCGAACCGGGGGAACUGAAACAUCUAAGUACCCCGAGGAAAAGAAAUCAACCGAGAUUCCCCCAGUAGCGGCGAGCGAACGGGGAGCAGCCCAGAGUCUGAAUCAGCUUGUGUGUUAGUGGAACGGUCUGGAAAGUCCGACGGUACAGGGUGAUAGUCCCGUACACCAAAAUGCACAGGCUGUGAACUCGAAGAGUAGGGCGGGACACGUGGUAUCCUGUCUGAAUAUGGGGGGACCAUCCUCCAAGGCUAAAUACUCCUGACUGACCGAUAGUGAACCAGUACCGUGAGGGAAAGGCGAAAAGAACCCCGGCGAGGGGAGUGAAAAAGAACCUGAAACCGUGUACGUACAAGCAGUGGGAGCACCUUCGGGUGUGACUGCGUACCUUUUGUAUAAUGGGUCAGCGACUUAUAUUCUGUAGCAAGGUUAACCGUAUAGGGGAGCCGCAGGGAAACCGAGUCUUAACUGGGCGUUAAGUUGCAGGGUAUAGACCCGAAACCCGGUGAUCUAGCCAUGGGCAGGUUGAAGGUUGGGUAACACUAACUGGAGGACCGAACCGACUAAUGUUGAAAAAUUAGCGGAUGACUUGUGGCUGGGGGUGAAAGGCCAAUCAAACCGGGAGAUAGCUGGUUCUCCCCGAAAGCUAUUUAGGUAGCGCCUCGUGAACUCAUCUUCGGGGGUAGAGCACUGUUUCGGCUAGGGGGUCAUCCCGACUUACCAACCCGAUGCAAACUACGAAUACCGAAGAAUGUUAUCACGGGAGACACACGGCGGGUGCUAACGUCCGUCGUGAAGAGGGAAACAACCCAGACCGCCAGCUAAGGUCCCAAAGUCAUGGUUAAGUGGGAAACGAUGUGGGAAGGCACAGACAGCCAGGAUGUUGGCUUAGAAGCAGCCAUCAUUUAAAGAAAGCGUAAUAGCUCACUGGUCGAGUCGGCCUGCGCGGAAGAUGUAACGGGGCUAAACCAUGCACCGAAGCUGCGGCAGCGA
rnacentral:rRNA from 1 species